AUCUUGCUCAAGAUCCCUAUGUACCCUGGGCCUUCCAAAUUGCCUUCAUGCUUAUGUUCAGAGCUCUGCAGUGCCAGCAAAUGAGCAGCUAAGCCAUCGUAUGCAAUCACAUUUCUCCUGAAGAGCAGAUUCAGCUCCAGUCUACUCAAAUGCUCUUACUUGCUAAUGUAAACCACAACGCAUGUCUUGUCCUCUGUAAAACAUAUGACUGUUCAAUUGUUAGCCUCCCGUGAAAGAGAGAAAGUAGUGGCAGAAAUCAAAUGUGAAUUGUCAAGUCCAUGUAACAAAUAGAAAAUAGGACAGGGCUGAGGUAGAUGUACCUGUGAUUCAUUUAAAGGUGAAACUCAGCUUAUUUUUUCAAAGUAAUACUGAUAGCAAUGUGCCUAUUCCCUUCUUCAUGGAACUUCCUUACCAGAAUCAGUUGAUUGUGGUUUGCAGUGUGUAAGAAGAUGGGUGUGGAGACAGAUGUCAAUGCAAAGCUGAGUAGGAAGGAAAAGGAGAUCCUAAUGAUUUGCACGCUGCAAGCUUCAUGCUGAAAGAAACAUGAAUGAAGCUGUUCGCAGGCAGAGAAGAGGCUUUCCUGUUAUCUUCAUCACAAACUAACUAGGAUGGAGUGAAAUAUCCCUUCUCUGAAAAUUAACAGGCUAUGGCUAAUUUGUUGCACACAAGAAGAGGCUCAGACUCACCUACUUGGGCCCUCUUCUUGUGGCCAUCAUUCAAACAAGAAAAGUGACCUUGAACCAGUUAAGGCUUUAGCUCUGUUAUUGCUGCCAGGUGGAGUGAAUGCUAGAUUUGCCUUCAAUCUCCUCAGCAAAAUGUGAGCAAGUUUCAGACAGGAAGAUGCUAAGACUGUAUACUGGUGCUCAUGCCAUAAAUCAGCUAGGGAUAAUGAAGUCACGGAAGCUCAGGGGCUCUGGAGGUCUCCUUACCUCUCACCCAAGAACUUCACAAACUCCUUGCUGCUUCCUUGCCUGGUGCUGCGGUGUCCUAAUGAGGCAUCUAUGGAGUUCUAAGGAGGAACUUUGGCACCAUCAGCAAACCUCCUGCACCCAGCACCUUCCUGGUACCUCCCUCCCUCUUUGUUUAGUUUCAAGGCUUCUGAGUGCCAGAUAGCUGGGAUGGGGUAUCUCAGGAACAACUUUAACCAAAAGAGAAGCCUCAUGUCUCAGACCAGUGUUCUUGCUGGUCUAUCUUUGCAGUAGACUGUGGGAAUCAAGUUCUACCUCUUUUAUUCGCGUAGACAGUAGAGACAAAGCUGCCAGAAAGGAAGAAGUGGAUGCAGCAGUUACAGCUGAAGCAGGGAGUCCAGGUGCCUUGUCAGAAUGGGAAGGGAGCAGGAAGGAAGAGGCUAUACCAUGACCUCUUCAGUUUUCAGUCUUCCCAGAGACAGCUGCCUUGUUUGAGGCUGAGGGGACUUACUGCUGUGCAACACUCUCUCAGACUGAUAUAUUCUCAGCUUCCUUAAAUAGAACCAGUUAUUUUAUAUUAUUUUUUCUUGUCUCUAGUUCAGAACAUGUUUGUAUUUAGUAUCCAAGCACCUACAAUAGCGUUGGCAUCAUAAUUUUAAGAGCCACGUAGUGAAUUGGUAGUGAGGGAAAGGGGAAAUAGAACAGCAUUUUCUGGGCACACAUCAGCAUGCUGACCCACGUUUAGGAAGUUGUUUAUGUGCCUUUCAUUAUCUUGAUUCAGAGGAAUCAUGAUAGGAAAUGUGAAGGCUUGGUAAACAAGCUAAUUACACUGAGAAAAUACCUGACUACUCGUCACUGAUUUUGAUUCAUGGAAGAAACUGACUUCCAAAACAUUGUCAUUCAGCAAAGCUCUGAGGAGCUGUACAGUUUUUACUUGGUAAACAUUCCUUUAUCUAACAGAUGCCAUUACCAGUGAAAAAAGAAAUAGGUAUACUCCUGUGAAGUGAAAGCCUUCAGGCAGAAUAGCUGUUGUUCACUUAAAACCCUAUAAUUCUGUGAGUGAAGAAAAGAAAAUGCACUCAGUUGACAGAUAAGAUGUACUGAUUUUCAUGUCUUCAUGCAGAAGGUCAAGGAGAAAAAAAAAAUCAGGAGGUCAGAAAUAAACCAGGAAAAAUAAAAAUAGUCCUUAAGACACAUCAGUGUUAACAGAUUGCUCUUCUUCCUGUAGCUUGAUCUUAUUCUACUGCCAGGAGAAAAAACCCUGAGAACAUGCCAAAGCAUUAAAAGCAAUACAAUUGCAUUUUCGAGGGCAAGGAAACAGACUGUGGGUGAAAGGCGACGUCUUUCACCUUGCAUCUCUCUGAUGGUGGCCCAAGGAUCUCUUUUGCAAUCACAAGAAGUGCCAUUUAAAGACCAUUUGUGUUGCUUGGGAGAGGUAUUUGAACAGUAUCUGUGCACUGCUGAGGCAACUUUAAUUGGAUUCUUGUUUAUGUGAUGCAAUUAAACUAUUGCCCUUCUGAUG
ensembl:lncRNA